rnacentral:rRNA from 1 species
AGAGUUUGAUCCUGGCUCAGGAUGAACGCUGGCGGCGUGCCUAACACAUGCAAGUCGAGCGAACCCUUCGGGGUGAGCGGCGGACGGGUGAGUAACGCGUGGGUAACCUGCCCUGUACACACGGAUAACAUACCGAAAGGUAUGCUAAUACGAGAUAAUAUAUUUUAAUCGCAUGGUUAAGAUAUCAAAGCUCCGGCGGUACAGGAUGGACCCGCGUCUGAUUAGCUAGUUGGUGAGGUAAUGGCUCACCAAGGCGACGAUCAGUAGCCGACCUGAGAGGGUGAUCGGCCACACUGGAACUGAGACACGGUCCAGACUCCUACGGGAGGCAGCAGUGGGGAAUAUUGCACAAUGGGCGCUAGCCUGAUGCAGCAACGCCGCGUGAGCGAUGAAGGCCUUCGGGUCGUAAAGCUCUGUCCUCAAGGAAGAUAAUGACGGUCCUUGAUGAGGAAGCCCCGGCUAACUACGUGCCAGCAGCCGCGGU